UUCACCCGUUUGGCGAAAACACAUCACCCCACUCUGUGUUCAGUGUUUUGCCUUUCCUGCGAGCAUUUCACCCUCUCUGUUCUCUCCAACUCCCCCGUUUGAUACCUUACUCUCUCGCUCUCUUCAUCUCCCUCACUCAUCCCUCUCUUUCUCUGUUUCGCUCUCUCGCCCUCAGCCUCUCGGUCUCUCCUUCUCCAGGCAUCAUGGAGAAGUCAAGUGGAGCCACCCUUCUUCCUGUGCCAGAGUCGCAUUCCCCACCUGUCCUCCGUGGAGACAUUCUGGUGACGAGUGACGCCACGGACGCUAUUGGGGGUCUCCCUGAUGCAGGAAGGAGAGGUGUCAUAUGGCCAGCUGUCCUCCUGGCCCUUACCAAUGAAGAUACCUUGUAACUGGAGAUUCCUUCAAAACAAUUGCCUACAGUUAACGUGUAGGGCACUGCAAGGUUGGGUGACCAGGGUCAUCUGGGACUGCCUCCUGGAGGAAUUCAGGUGUGUGAAGGCUACCUGUGUCCUGUAUAACUUCAUGAGGAUGGACACGAGGACCAGGAGGGGAUCUGCAGCUCGCCGCCGUGUGCCAGAGGAGGAGUCUGCUGCUCUGCAGGAUGUUUCAAGGAUGGGGUACAACAACGCAGCAAGAGAGGCAAUCUGUGUGCGGAAGAUCUUACCCUCUUCGAAGAAGUAGGAGGUGGCUGAUCCCUGGUAACACCAUAGACUACACUAUGCACAACCAAAGCCUCUUUAAGAGCUAUUCACAUUGCAAUAAGAGUAUUCUUUCAUUUACUUAGCUAUGUCAACUGCAGUUAUUCAAUUCCCAGUUUCUACUUCUCAGGUGAGGGUGCUGUUUAGGUAAGGUUGUGAUGUCUGUACAAAAACAAAACUGGCUAUUUUAAAUAACCCAUAUUGAAAAAAUGUAGAGCAAUUAGACACCCUGUAACCCAUACCUACACACUCAUGUAUCAAUUUGAUUGAUGGAUUGUGUUGUGCAGUAUUCAGGCUCAGGUGUAUAAAUGUGGCUCCUUCCACCUUCAAAGAAUAGGCAAGAGGGCCAACCAUGGAGAAUAGUAAGACACUUCAUUAUUUCUAUAACUACGCUAUAUUGUUUGUCCUCGAGUGUCCGUUCAUGUUUUUCAGCAUAAAGUACUCUGCAGCCACUUAGUGUGAUGUGGACACCAGGUAAGACCACACACACACAGAUUCCUGUUGAACUCAUUUCCCCAAUAACAGUCUCUCUCCUCCACUUCCUCCUUUUCUCCCUAAAUCCUCUAGGUUAUAUCAGCUGAGUCGGUGAACCGCUCCCACAUCUGAACUGGCUACAGAGGGCACAGCAUAAUCAGAGGUGAGAAGUCACUUGGUCAGGUCAACAGGAAGUAUGAUUUAAAGAGAUGCUUUGCAUUGAAAUACAGAGAUGCAGUCGUCCCAGAGUUAAUGAUCCAAGAUAUGUUUUGAUGUGAGAGAGGAUGCCAACCCCCAGGCCCAUCAUCGCCACCUCACCCAUAAUGUAACUGUGAUGAAAAGAGAAUAUUUGGGCAGCACUGUGAUUUAUUAAUCAUAUGCUGCCUUCCCUGCCCCUCUGCUUUUACUCAUUUCCCUUUGUCUUUUACACCUCUUUCUUCUUCUGUUUUCAUAAUGCACAACAGAUAAGCAUUGAAGUACAGACUGAACUUGUAUUUAUAAUAUUACAAUUAUAAUAUUUAUUAUGCAUGUAUUUAUAACACUUGGAUAAUGAACUUCUUUCAAUAAAGCGUUUCACAUUCUCUACUGGGGAGGCAGGUAGCCUAGUGGUUAGAGCGUUGGACUAGUAACCGAAAGGGUGCAAGAUCGAAUCCCUGAGCUGACCAGGUAAAAAUCUGUUGUUCUGCCCCUGAGCAAGGCAGUGAACCCACGGUUCCUAGGCCGUCAUUGAAAAUAAGAAUUUGUUCUUAACUGAUUUGCCUAGUUAAAUAAAGGUAACAUAAAAAAAACUACACCUAUCCUGUGUUUAUCAGAUCAAUGCAGAUGUAGGGCAUUAGAUAAUGAGAUGAACCGGUUUUAGACUAUAUACAUUGUCAUGACGUUGCCCUCUUUGGGUACAGCAAGCACCAUCCCCCUCUCCCUGCCUCUCUCUGCUCCUUCAACCAGGCUGCUGUUGUUAGUGAGGUCGUAAAUUCCUCGAAGAGAUUAUCUCCUCAUUGACACAGUAUAAGAGACAGUGAAUUUUCAUAGAGAACAAAGGAAUGUCUUCCACCUCACAGAACUUGAGGUCCGAACAAAUUUCAUGUUCCGGAGAAGGUAUAAAAGAUCGGUGAAGAAUCCAGCUACGAACUGGUCUGUUUGUUACAACUUGGGGAAGCUCAUGGGAGACGGUGCGGCCACAUUACCAUAACGCUGUUUAUAUAAUAGCCUCAGAUAUGAGGUUUUACAUCUAAUUGUUGUAUAAGAUGAAUGAGUGAGGAUGAUACUGUUUGUAAAAUUGUGUAAUGUGAUUUUGGACUGAUUAAUGAAGGAAACUCCAAUUCCCUUUUGAGUUGAACUGAAUCAGAGGACCGCCCAUGAGCCCAGUUCGGAUCAGGCAUCCUGGGACAGCCCCGUUUCUGCAAUUCCGAAUAAAACCCAACUUUGAGAAAUUCUAAGUAGACCAUGUUUCCCUCAAUUACGAGUACAAAGGUUGCAGACCAGACUGCUGAAUCUUUAAAACAUACCACAUGGUUAAACUCUUAGACUAUCGAUACCGACAGAAUAAGAACAAGUCUUUGAUAUUAUUUACUAGUCUGCAGCUAGGAAUUCGGCAUCAUUGAACGCGAAGAACGACAACCGCCGAAACACCCAUUCUACAACAACAUGAAUGAAUGUCACUCUGAACCAACCACUAUAACCACGACAGAGAGAGAGAGAGAGAGAGAGAGAGAGAGAGAGAGAGAGAGAGACAAACAAUUCUACAAAAGAAACAAACUUUUCAACAGCGACCAAGACAACACACUGAGCAUUAAUACAGUGGGGAGUAUAAGUAUUUGAUACAC